UUGCUUUGAAAGCACAUAUACUAAAACUGGAAAGAUACAGAGAUUAGCACACCCCCUGUAUGCAAGGGUGGCAUUAGAAAGGCUGAAGGAGUGUCUCAUGGUA
rnacentral:snRNA from 1 species